AUGGAGUUCACAGUGAGCUGGGUUUUCCUUCUUGCUGUUUUCAAAGGAGUCCAAGCUGAGGAGCAGCUGGUGGAGUCCGGUGGAGGCUUGGUGCGGCCUGGGGGGGUCCCCGAGACUUUCCUGCGUUGCCUUGAUAGCUACAGGAUGAGCUGGAUUCACCAGUCUCCAGGAAAAGGGCUGGAGUGGAUUGCAUACAUCAAUGGUGAUAGUAGUAAUAUAAACUACACAGCCUUGGUGAAAGGCCAAUUCCCUAUCUCCAGGGACAAUGGAAGGAACACGCGGUAUCUGCAAAUGAGCAGCCUGAGAACCGAGGACAUGACCAUGUAUUACUCUACCAGAGACAUAGUGAAAAAAGUUCCAUGUAAGCCUGGAAAUUAA